GACGAACCGUGCGAACGUUGUUCGGAAUCACUGGGCUUAAAGGGCGCGUAGGCGGGUCACCAAGUCCGGGGUGAAAUCUUUCGGCUUAACCGGAAAACUGCCUUGGAUACUGGUGAUCUCGAGGGAGGUAGGGGUCUGUGGAACUGCUGGUGGAGCGGUGAAAUGCGUUGAUAUCGACCGGAACUCCGGUGGCGAAGGCGAGGUGCUGGGUCCUUUCUGACGCUGAUGCGCGAAAGCCAGGGGAGCAAACGGG
rnacentral:rRNA from 1 species